rnacentral:rRNA from 1 species
GACGAACGCUGGCGGCGUGCUUAAUACAUGCAAGUCGAGCGAGGUUACUGUUUUGGAUCCCUUCGGGGUGAAGAAGCUUUAACCUAGCGGCGGACGGGUGAGUAACGCGUGGGUAACCUACCCCAAAGUCCGGGAUAACAGCGGGAAACCGCUGCUAAUACCGGAUGCCUUUACCUUGGGGCAUCUUGAGGUAAAGAAAGGUAACGCUUUGGGAUGGGCCCGCGUCCCAUUAGCUAGUUGGUGAGGUAACGGCUCACCAAGGCGACGAUGGGUAGCCGGCCUGAGAGGGGUGGACGGCCAACGACUGGGAACUGAGACACGGCCCAGACUCCUACGGGAGGCAGCAGUAGGGAAUAUUGCGCAAUGGACGGAAGUCUGACGCAGCGACGCCGCGUGAGCGAUGAAGGUCUUCGGAUCGUAAAGCUCUGUCCUUGGGGAAGAAGGCGAAAGCUUGACGGUACCCAAGAAGAAAGCCCCGGCUAACUACGUG